rnacentral:ribozyme from 1 species
AUCAGCAUCAGGCUCAAGAACAGAGGCUCCUCAUACUCUAAUCCCACUUAAUGCGUCCAUGUCGUACAGAACGUUAACACAUCUCUCCAAAGUGCUGAGCUUUGAUCUACGGAGAACUCCCUUUUGUGAAGAUGGGGAACAUGGCUAAAUUGAAAGUA